AGUCACUGACAUUAGAUACCCGUGUAGUCCCAGCCGUAAACUAUGCGCGUUAGGUGUACUGGUGACCACGAGUCACCGGGGUGCCGAAGGGAAACCGUGAAACGUGCCGCCUGGGAAGUACGGUCGCAAGGCUGAAACUUAAAGGAAUUGGCGGGGGAGCACCGCAACGGGAGGAGCGUGCGGUUUAAUUGGAUUCAACACCGUAAACUCACCAGGGAAGACUGUUACAUGAAAGCCGAGAUGAAGACUCUGCUAGAUUUUCAG
rnacentral:rRNA from 1 species